UGGGGAAUUUGGACAAUGGGCGAAAGCCUGAUCCAGCAAUGCCGCGUGUGUGAAGAAGGCCUUCGGGUUGUAAAGCACUUUUGUCCGGAAAGAAAUCCUUGGCUCUAAUACAGUCGGGGGAUGACGGUACCGGAAGAAUAAGCACCGGCUAACUACGUGCCAGCAGCCGCGGUAAUACGUAGGGUGCAAGCGUUAAUCGGAAUUACUGGGCGUAAAGCGUGCGCAGGCGGUUUGCUAAGACCGAUGUGAAAUCCCCGGGCUCAACCUGGGAACUGCAUUGGUGACUGGCAGGCUAGAGUAUGGCAGAGGGGGGUAGAAUUCCACGUGUAGCAGUGAAAUGCGUAGAGAUGCGGAGGAAUACCGAUGGCGAAGGCAGCCCCCUGGGCCAAUACUGACGCUCAUGCACGAAAGCGUGGGGAGCAAAACAGGAUUAGAUACCCUGGUAGUCCACGCCCUAAACGAUGUCAACUAGUUGUUGGGGAUUCAUUUCCUUAGUAACGUAGCUAACGCGUGAAGUUGACCGCCUGGGGAGUACGGUCGCAAGAUUAAAACUCAAAGGAAUUGACGGGGUCAUAGCUGUUUCCU
rnacentral:rRNA from 1 species